rnacentral:rRNA from 1 species
AUGCAAGUCGAACGGAAAGGUCUCUUCGGAGAUACUCGAGUGGCGAACGGGUGAGUAACACGUGGGUGAUCUGCCCUGCACUUCGGGAUAAGCCUGGGAAACUGGGUCUAAUACCGGAUAGGACCACGGGAUGCAUGUCUUGUGGUGGAAAGCGCUUUAGCGGUGUGGGAUGAGCCCGCGGCCUAUCAGCUUGUUGGUGGGGUGACGGCCUACCAAGGCGACGACGGGUAGCCGGCCUGAGAGGGUGUCCGGCCACACUGGGACUGAGAUACGGCCCAGACUCCUACGGGAGGCAGCAGUGGGGAAUAUUGCACAAUGGGCGCAAGCCUGAUGCAGCGACGCCGCGUGGGGGAUGACGGCCUUCGGGUUGUAAACCUCUUUCACCAUCGACGAAGGUCCGGGUUCUCUCGGAUUGACGGUAGGUGGAGAAGAAGCACCGGCCAACUACGUGCCAGCAGCCGCGGUAAUACGUAGGGUGCGAGCGUUGUCCGGAAUUACUGGGCGUAAAGAGCUCGUAGGUGGUUUGUCGCGUUGUUCGUGAAAUCUCACGGCUUAACUGUGAGCGUGCGGGCGAUACGGGCAGACUAGAGUACUGCAGGGGAGACUGGAAUUCCUGGUGUAGCGGUGGAAUGCGCAGAUAUCAGGAGGAACACC